rnacentral:ncRNA from 1 species
AAAAGUACGUGAAAUUGCUGAAAGGGAACCGUAUGAAAUCAGCCUGAUGUGUGGGUAAUCAGCCUGGGCUUUGGCCUGGGUGCACUUGCCCAUGUAUUAGCCUGCGACAGUUUGACCUGGGGGAAAAAAGAUGGGGGAAUGUGGCCUCGGCUUCGGUCGAGGUGUUAUAGCCCCUGUCAAAAUACCUUGGGUUGGACUGAGGACUGCAGCGAGCCGUAAGGCAUGGGUCUCGGGCGCUCUGUCUCGGCGAAAAGUGAAUCUCUGCUUCGGGUGGUGCGCUUUUCUUCAGGGCAGACUCGCCUGUUUCUUCUUUCUCUCGCUUAGGUCGUAGGCAUAAUGAUUUUAUAUGACCCGUCUUGAAACACGGACCAAGGAGUCCACCAUAGUUGCGAGUCUUUGAGUGUAAAAACCCAUGGGCGUAAGGAAACUGACCAAGAUAUGAAGGCCUUUGGCUGGCAAUAUCCUCCGGCGAGGACGUUUUAUACUGAAUUGACCGAGAGAAAGCACCUAUGAUGGGACCCGAAAGAUGGUGAACUAUACUUGAAUAGGGUGAAGCCAGAGGAAACUCUGGUGGAAGCUCGUAGCGAUUCUGACGUGCAAAUCGAUCGUCAAAUUUGAGUAUAGGGGCGAAAGACUAAUCGAACCAUCUAGUAGCUGGUUCCUGCCGAAGUUUCCCUCAGGAUAGCAGAAACUCACAAAGCAGUUUUAUGGGGUAAAGCGAAUGAUUAGAGGCCUUGGGGGCGAAAUGCCCUUAACCUAUUCUCAAACUUUAAAUAUGUAAGACGCCCUUCUUUCUUAGCUGAAGUUGGGCCUUUGAAUGCAGAGUUUCUAGUGGGCCAUUUUUGGUAAGCAGAACUGGCGAUGC